CCUACGGGAGGCAGCAGUAGGGAAUCUUCCACAAUGGGCGAAAGCCUGAUGGAGCAACGCCGCGUGGGUGAAGAAGGUCUUCGGAUCGUAAAACCCUGUUGUUAGAGAAGAAAGUGCGUGAGAGUAACUGUUCACGUUUCGACGGUAUCUAACCAGAAAGCCACGGCUAACUACGUGCCAGCAGCCGCGGUAAUACGGAGGUGGCAAGCGUUAUCCGGAUUUAUUGGGCGUAAAGGGAACGCAGGCGGGCGUUUAAGUCUGAUGUGAAAGCCUUCGGCUUAACCGGAGUAGUGCAUUGGAAACUGGGAGACUUGAGUGCAGAAGAGGAGAGUGGAACUCCAUGUGUAGCGGUAAAAUGCGUAGAUAUAAAGAGGAACACCAGUGGCGAAAGCGACUCGCUGGACUGUAACUGACGCUGAGGUGCGAAAGCGUGGGUAGCAAACAGGAUUAGAUACCCUUGUAGUC
rnacentral:rRNA from 1 species